UACUGCCUACGGGAGGCAGCAGUGGGGAAUAUUGGGCAAUGGGCGCAAGCCUGACCCAGCAACGCCGCGUGAAGGAAGAAGGCUUUCGGGUUGUAAACUUCUUUUCUUGGGGACGAAGAAAGUGACGGUACCCAAGGAAUAAGCCCCGGCUAACUACGUGCCAGCAGCCGCGGUAAUACGUAGGGGGCAAGCGUUAUCCGGAAUUAUUGGGCGUAAAGAGUGCGUAGGUGGUUACUUAAGCGCGGGGUUUAAGGCAAUGGCUCAACCAUUGUUCGCCCUGCGAACUGGGUUACUUGAGUGCAGGA
rnacentral:rRNA from 1 species